UUAAAUAGAACUGGCAUCCUCAUCAGCAGAAGAAAUCAAUGUUUCAUUCAUUAAAGAUAUCCAUACUUAUAUAGGGAACACAUGUUUGCCAGAUGGUGCCAGUUCAUGGUUGCUGUUAGAGGGAGAGGUCUGCCCCUACUAAAAACUGGUUCCUGUCCUGCCUGCCAAAACCAUCCCAGCCGCUGGGUUAUGCUGAGCUGCUUGCUUGCUUCGGUGCACCCAGAGCAGAUGCCACUGCACCUCCUCAAGCUUGGGCUACUUUGCAACCUCAGACAACUAAGUAAUGUACAAAAUGAUGUUUUGUGGGAGGAAAGAAUACAAGCUUAUAUCUAGUGUCUAGAUGCCAUACUCUUGUAACAGUGCUGAUACAGACAUUUUUUUAGUCCCAGCAUUUUUCAAAUUAUGUGGUUUAAUGCAGUUUGCUAAUACAUACAGUAACCAGAAGUUAUUUUAAAGGGCAGUGUGUAUUUAAUAGAUGCCAAAUAUAUGUUAUAUAAGCACUGCAAAUGUUAGACAGUGUAUUUUAAAGUUUUAGACUGCUGUUAAUGGGAACAAACAUGUUUGUAGUCUCUGAAUACUGAAAUGGUUUGGUCUCUAUUUCUUGUAAUUAUAAAAUUUCAUAUGUACUCAGAGUAGAUCUCCAUGUACAUGUUAUGAAAUAUUUCAUCCAAACACAUGUACAAGAUAAAUGCAAUGGGAGUGCACCUUGACUUGCAUCAAGAAAUCAAAGUGAACAUGCAGGAAAGAGAGUACGGUACACCAAACAGCAGGUUUUUAACCUUUUUAACCUUUCUAACCAUGCAGAAAGGACUGAUUGAAAGAUGUUAUGUUUGUAGUUCAGCAGAGAAAACUCUGUGUGUGUGCAUGUGAUGGACGGCUAUAGUAUUAGAAAUAAUUAGAAUUAACAUACUUUUUCUUGUUUCUUAAAGAGCUUGUAUUCCUGUGGAAUGUUACGAGUGGAGGAUAAUGUGAAUGUGCACACUGCUCACUGUGAAUGACAGUGAGCAGUGUGCAGUGCAUGCCUGGGUGGUUUCUUCUUCCCACAGCUUGUAGCCAUAUGCGUCAGGGCACUACUUAAAGCUGGCAAGUGUGCUGCACUGUGUGUUACUGUCACUUGGGGGACACUCCAUCUCAUACAAACCUACCUCAGCUAGGGUUUUCCUAUCCCACUCACCAUGGGAGAAGUCUGGUGAUUCUUCCUGCAACUGCAAAAGGUACUGUGCAGCCCACAAAUGUAAUUUUUCCUGUGUUCCCUGCCACAGCCAAGCAACAAAAGCAGGGGGAGAAAGGAAGUUGGCUGCAGCAUUGUGUGGCAAGCCCAAUGUCAAUGACAAAAGAGGAGGACCAGGUUUAGUGGGCAUUUCUUGAGCUUCCCUCCUAAUACUGCUAGACAAGUAUCUUCAGCACUCCCUCAGCCUAGGAGCACCAGGUCCCUUUCCUUGGAACAUGCCUAUUGACAAAAGCACCCUGAAAAUGUCUCAUUCUGCCUCAGACUCUCUCACCUACAGCCCCUUUAUGAAGUUGAGCAGUUCUAGCUCAUCCACCAUCUAUUUUGGCACCCAAAGAUCUUCCCAGCCAUGCAAAGUAGCUUACUUACUGUGACUAUUGCGUGGGGCAAGAUGGGUCACCCAUAUGUUGGUAUCUGUAGCAUUAUUUUUGUGUCUAUGAAAGCUACCUAAUUAAGUCUUUUCCUUAAAUGUCUCAGAUGGGGCUUCCCAGAAACUGUUUUUGAGCUGAUGCUGAUUGCUUCAGCCAGCACAUGUGCAGGGAGCAGCUUAGCUGUGUGCACCACUGAGCAGCCCAGAUGAUGGCUGCAGUGCAGAAGGAGUGCCAGGGGAGGCACAGCUCUGAAAUGCCAUGGAUCCCAGUGGCUGAGCCUCCUGUGGAGACAUCCAGAGAGGACCAUCUCUCAGGAGGAGCACACUUCAUCAGGUUCACCCAUGUGAGAAAAGGGGUCUGAUUAUACGGAGGAGGGCAAAUGAGUAAAGAAACUUCAGGAAGGAGAGAAAUAUUCCAGGGAAUUCUACUGAUAGUGUUUACUUCACCGGAAGGAAAGGGCAGUGCCUUUCUUUCCUUCUGCCCUUGGUUGUCCUGCACACAGGAGGUCACUUGGCUGCCAGCGUUCACCCACAGUCCAGCCUCUGCAGAGUUCCAGCUCUUUCCACUGCAUGCUUCUGACACUGGAACAAAGUGAGCGAGUUAUCUAAGGCUGCAAUCGCUAUUAGGCUCCAGGCAAAAUACUUUUUAUUUAAGGAAAUAAAUUCUAUGUUUGGCACAAAAGUGCCUCUGCCAUGCACUCUUUUCAGUGGAAGAUAUAACCAGGUGCAUAUAAAAGUAUGACUUCAAUAGUUUAGUAUUGGCAGAAACACAAAGCAGCAUUUUAAAUGCUGCCCCUCUGCUCUGAACUGCCAGCAGAAUUGCAUGGCUAUGCAGAGAUACAGGCCUUUGUGCAACGUGAAAACAGCAGCUCCUCAAAAUGGGAAGACUUUGUGAACCUGGGGAACUGGAUUUCCAUCUUUGAUGAGAGAUUAUAGUGUGUGAUAAGUACAUCUGUAUGGAAGAAAAUUAUUUUAAAUAAUUGGGACCUAUAGACUUUCAUGAACAAAAGCAAGCAGUCAGUACCCCUCCUAUCUGCAUUACUGGACAAAAGGAACAAAUUCUCUA